CCUCCUGACGCUGAGGCUUUAUGAACCGGGGGCUCCAGGGCCACCCACCACCCCCUCCACGAGGCCCGGCAUCUUGAACACCUCAGAGCCCCUCUGCACCCUUCCCCAGGGCGUGGCAUUGCCACCAGUCACCCAGGGGGUUCCCAGGCCACACCCUCACCUCCACAAAAGUCCCCAAUUGUUAGUCCACCUCCCAAUCCUCUCUCUGCCUAUCCCAGACCCUCAUGAUUCCAACUCUCAGCUGCUCCUCCUGACUUUGGUCACUGAAUUCCUCCUCCAUGCUCUCGCCGGAACCAUCUAUCUAACAUGGAAAUCUAAGUUAGACCCGCUCCUGCCGAAAACCCUUCACGAGUGACACAUUCUUUCUCAGCCCUGCUCCUCACCGCCUGCACUGACCCCUAGUCACCCCUCCUCCGGCCUCGGUGACCAUGCGCCAGGCCUUCUGCCCAUGCCGUCACUGGGCUGCAGGCACGGCCACCCCCGGUUGCCAGUUCUGACAAGAAUGGCCGUGAGGAAACACAGCGAGGCUCAGGGCGUGAUUCACACCCUCCAGAGGCUCAUGUUCCAGGAAGGAAGCUGAGACGAGCACAGCUGUGGGCAGAGGCGAUGGAGCUGGAGGCCUGCAGGGCCAAAGAGAGCCGUCCGUGCACCCCCCGUGCAACCGAGCCUUCAAGGAUGAAGACGGGUUCCCUCGAGAGGCAAGAGCUGAGGUGCAGAAAACGCAUUAAAACACAUACAGAUGAGCCAGGGAAGCCAGAAAGGGAAGAGCACUUAUCGAGCAAUGGAAAGUGGUCAGCGGACCAGCUGGGCAACAAGGAACACAGAGUGAGUGGGAUCACAGCCGCAUCCAUCUCACGGCUGCGGGAAGCCUCCCUCGACCAAAAGCUCCACGUCCUGCGUCCAGGCUCUCCUGCCUCCCAAGUUCACAGAAGCCGACCUUGAGACCUUGACGUGAAACUCGCUUGAACCGGACGCUGUGCCGUCAGCGCUCACAGGGAGAAAAUGGGCCUCCGCGUCUCCGUGGGGCGAUGACCACCCCACGCACGAACACAACAGCUGCAUCAGGGACCACACGUGGAGGCAGGGGCCCCAGCGCCCCCACUCAACACCGUGCCCAUCUGCAGCCCCAGCUGCCACUCUUCCCACUGGCCACGCCCCUCCCAGGCCAGACGCCUCAGACCCAGUCCCCGGGAUGAGCUCAGCUCCCUGAGACCCAGACCUGGGCUUGGCUGGGAAAAGACCUAGAGAUGAGCCUGGACUUGACCCAGGACUUGGAGACCUUCUUUUCUGAGCGCCUCGUCUUAAAACAUUCCGUGUUAAGGUGGGCCUAGGAAUGGUCACCAGCAAAACUCCCCUUCACUGAGAAAGGGGAGCAAAUGAGCCCUGGCAUCGGAAGCGGCCGGGCAGCUUCCUGGCACAGGGCGCCCGGCUGGCAGGCGAAGGCCUGUCUGGGCUCCUGACAGGAGGGCGGAUGGAGGGGCCGAGGGCCGCCGCCUGUUAUCAGUGGAAAGAAGACGGUCAUGGAAAAAGGAACCGGUUACUCAUCCUGACGUUCUUGAACGCCGUCCACGCGGCCAGGUAGGCAGGACGGGAAGCGGGUGCCACUGGCCGGAGCCAGAGCUGCAGGCAGCCCUGGGGUGGGACGGCACCCCCCGGGGCACGGGAAGUGGCAGCCUUCACACCCAGCUGAAAGACGCUGCAGAUGCCACAAAGGUGAGAGCAGCACUCACGGCGGGGGCACCCCUGGGCUGGGAUGGAACAGAAACGCACACUCAGAUGCGCAGUUUCUUCCACUGCGAAGUGGGAUUUUCUCUUGUUAUUGCUCAGUGUUAUUUAUAAAAUAGCUGCACUUCUGUAUCGACUUGAUUCUGACUGAGUUACAGUAAUGAUUUAAAGAGCAAGUGCCCGGCGGCAUCUGAGCCGAGGCAGAGGCGGAGUCUCAGGCCUGAACCACCACAAAGCUGCGUGCGCACUCCUGGCCAGACAUCGUGGCAGCAGCAGGAACGGACUCUAUCCAUCAAUCCAUCGUUUUCAAUGAGAGAUCUUCCUCUAAAAGGCCGCGUGGCAGCCCCGUGUGGCCCAUCGCAGACCAGUCGCUCCCGGACCUGCACGUGAAAACCAGCUGGGCGCGUGCUUCCCAACGCGCGUACCUGUCAAACCCGGAUCUGACAGCAUUCUGGGUGUUCAGAGCCAGGGCCCCAGCAUCCACUUCCUGGGCCACAGCAGUCAAGGGUCGGGUCUGGGGCCCCCAAAACAGCUGCCCUUUCCCUUCCGGGGCUGUGUCCAGGGCCGGGGCUGGUGGCUCCCGGAUCACAGAACGCACAGCACUCCCUUGGUGGCCUGGUUUGGGGCAACUCUGCAGGCAGCUCAAACUCCCUGCCAACCAUCAAAUAGCAUGUCAUAACUCCCUACUCCAAAGAGAACGAUUCAGAGCAGUGGGAGAACUGCUAAUAAGACACAACUCCUUAUCAUCCGUGGUGGUUCAGACUCUCUAGGUCAUCGAGUGACAAAGUGAAGCUAAAACAAAAUGCCAUCAAUGAUCAAAAUACUCACUGAAUGUGUAAACUUUAUUAAAACUUUGUUGUAGGUCUACACGGAAACGUUAAGUAAAUAGAAAUGCCAGUUCUCGCUGAAUAUUCCACCUGCCCACAUACUACCCUGAAUGGAAACACUGGCCACCACACUAUUUUAACACCAAAGACUAUAAAGAACAUAAAAGAAGCGAACUUGUACGUUGCUAUUAGAAACUGAGAAUAAAACAUGAGUUCUUUCCCACAAAAUUAACCCGUCGGUAAGCACUCUUGGUGUAUAAUGAA